GUAAGGAAUAUUGGUCAAUGGACGCAAGUCUGAACCAGCCAUGCCGCGUGGAGGAUGAAGGUCCUCUGGAUUGUAAACUUCUUUUAUCUGGGACGAAAAAGGGGCAUUCUUGCUCAACUGACGGUACCAGAUGAAUAAGCACCGGCUAACUCCGUGCCAGCAGCCGCGGUAAUACGGAGGGUGCAAGCGUUAUCCGGAUUCACUGGGUUUAAAGGGUGCGUAGGCGGAUAUGUAAGUCCGUGGUGAAAUCUCUGGGCUUAACCCGGAAACUGCCAUGGAUACUAUGUGUCUUGAAUGUUGUUGAGGUGAGCGGAAUAUGUCAUGUAGCGGUGAAAUGCUUAGAUAUGACAUAGAACACCAAUUGCGAAGGCAGCUCACUAAGCAAAUAUUGACGCUGAGGCACGAAAGCGUGGGGAUCAAACAGGAUUAGAUACCCUUGUAGUCC
rnacentral:rRNA from 1 species